AUUGCACGCUGGCGGCAGGCCUAACACAUGCAAGUCGAACGAGUGGCGGACGGGUGCGUAAUGUCUGGUAAACUGCCCGAUGGAGGGGGCUAACUACUGGAAACGGUAGCUAAUACCGCAUACCAUCGGAUGUGCCCCUAUGGGAUUAGCUAGUAGGUGGGGUACCGGCUCACCUAGCCGACGCUCCCUAGCUGGUCUGAGAGGAUGACCAGCCACACGGGAACGAAGACACGGUCCAGAAGCCUACGGGAGGCAGCAGUGGGGAAUAUUGCACAAUGGGCGCAAGCCUGAUGCAGCCAUGCCGCGUGAAUGAAGAAGGCCUUCGGGUUGUAAAGUACUUUCAGCGAGGAGGCGUUACUCGCAGAAGAAGCAUCGGCGAACUCCGUGCCAGCAGCCGCGGUAAUAC
rnacentral:rRNA from 1 species